AUGCUUGCUUCUGCAGCACAUAUACUAAAACUGGAAUGAUACAGAGAAGAUUAGCAUAGCCCCUGUGCAAGGAUGACAUGCAAAUUCAUGAAGCAUUCCAUAUUUUU
rnacentral:snRNA from 1 species